rnacentral:sRNA from 2 species
GCAAUUUCGGCAGGGCCUACCUCCUCCCAGGCCCUGACGGAUACGGUCAAUCUUUACCUCCUCCCAAAGAUUGACCAUCAAAACGGCGCCCGCCGCAUCCUCCUCCCAGCGGCGGGCGUUGUUU